ensembl:lincRNA
CUGUAACCACCUCUCCUCGGACUACUGCAGAGGAAGCAUGCAGUGGAGUCAACCCCGGGUCCCCAGGAUAAAACAAACUCGGAAGAAAUCACUGUAUCCUGUGCUCGUGAUACCUAGUGUGAUGUGUGAUGCGUCCAGGUGAUAGACAAAGAUCUGCAAGUGCACAUCGGAUGGCAAGAGCAGAGGCUGACAACUACAAGGACCCUUUUGAGCAAGAGAUUAUAUAUCAUACCAUAGAAAUACAUAAAAGACAAAUUAUCCCUGAGAUCAUCACGCCUCCAUUGACCUGCUCAAGGUUUAAAGCCAGCUGCAAUUAGAUGCCGCGGUCACAGAUCUGCCGACGGCUUAGAGCGCCUGCAUGUACUUUAAUCCUGCAGAAAUGGAACCAGGGUGGAUUUUGCAGUCAGGAAGAGAUGGAGAGGGAAAACGAUGUGACACGCCACCAACUUACCACGUUUGCACAUUCGCCAGCUGCUGUGACAGGACUCUCACGGACGGACGGCGCUCAGCCCAUCGGUCAGGCCUGACUCUCAGACACAGCGACAGAUUAAGAAAUCUAUUUCACCGUUCAUUGUAAUAAGAGGAAUUGAAAAUCUAUCUGUGAUGGGAGCAUGGUGGUUUUAUUUAUUUUAACAGUUAAAAAGCAUGAAAGACACCUGAUGCAAAGAGUAUGGGGCGCAGUGGAAAUGACCACAGUGUGAGUGAUUAUUGUGCCUUUUUCUCUAUGGUUGUGUGUCCUUGCUGAAUGAGUCCCAGGUGCAGGCACCGUUGGGAGCACUUUGCUUACACAAUCC